rnacentral:tRNA from 4 species
GGCCCCUUGGUCAAGUGGUUAAGACAUCGCCCUUUCACGGCGGUAACAGGGGUUCGAAUCCCCUAGGGGUCACCA